ACAGUGGUGACUCCUUGUAGAAUUCUUGCCUUCCAAGUAGGAGACCUGGGUUUGAUUCCUGGCCAAUGUA
rnacentral:tRNA from 1 species